rnacentral:rRNA from 1 species
AGUGAACGCUGGCGGUAGGCCUAACACAUGCAAGUCGAACGGCAGCACAGUAAGAGCUUGCUCUUACGGGUGGCGAGUGGCGGACGGGUGAGGAAUACAUCGGAAUCUACUUUUUCGUGGGGGAUAACGUAGGGAAACUUACGCUAAUACCGCAUACGACCUACGGGUGAAAGCAGGGGAUCUUCGGACCUUGCGCGAUUGAAUGAGCCGAUGUCGGAUUAGCUAGUUGGCGGGGUAAAGGCCCACCAAGGCGACGAUCCGUAGCUGGUCUGAGAGGAUGAUCAGCCACACUGGAACUGAGACACGGUCCAGACUCCUACGGGAGGCAGCAGUGGGGAAUAUUGGACAAUGGUCGCAAGCCUGAUCCAGCUAUACCGCGUGGGUGAAGAAGGCCUUCGGGUUGUAAAGCCCUUUUGUUGGGAAAGAAAAGCAGCAGGUUAAUACCCCGCUGUUCUGACGGUACCCAAAGAAUAAGCACCGGCUAACUUCGUG